GUCCAUGCACAAAUCUGGAGAAUGACGGCAUCCUCUGUAACUGUGUAUGUAUAUGGAAGUGUGUGAUUUAUUGCAUAAUUGCAAAAUUGGACAUAAAUUGACCACACUUUACUGAGAUGUAGCUCAGAAGAGAAAAGUCAUCAGAGCAAGAAUUUAUACCUCAACUUGACUUAAAACUACUGGGAACGAUUUUGAUCAAUUAUUUUUAUCCAAAGAUGAAUACCUUCGGAAUUCGAAACGUAAACGUCCUUUGCGCCGGAGGUGGGGGCGGUUCUGAUGGCGGCGGUGGGGGUGGUGGUGGCGGAUUUGGGGGUGGGAAUGGCGGAAAUGGUGGCAAGUGAUUGAGAUCCAUUAUGAUUGGGGGAAAUAUUGAAACAUUUGAAUAAAUAUUGUUGCAAUUAAAAA